AUGAAGUUCCUAUCAUUCAUGGAUCUGCCUUGUCAUCCAUGGAUGGCUAUGGUUAUCUUCCCGCUCCUCCUGCCUCUCACCGAUGCCCAAACGUGGCCAUCCUAUUCCUGCGGCAACAACGGCGACUACAAAUCAAAUAGCACCUACGAAGCCAACCUCAUGCUCCUCUCAUCCUUCCUCCCGAACAAGGCGGCAUCCAGCAGCACCCUCUUUGCCACUGACACCGUUGGCAACGCUCCGGACAUCGUGUACGCCCUCACGCUCUGCCGUGGGGACUCCAACGCCUCCGCCUGCCGGAGCUGCGUGGCUAACGCCUUUCAGGACCUCCAGCAAAUGUGCUCAUACAGUAGGGAUGCCGUAGUGUACUAUGAUCCCUGCAUGCUCAAGUUCUCCAACAAGAAUUUUCUCGCCACCACCACCACCACCGUCAAUGAAUUACCCAUCGUCAUGAACCCUAACAACUUAAUGACAAACGCCGACAUCACCCAGCGAUUAUUGUUCACGCUUAUCAACAGAACAGCUCAAUCGGCCGCCAAUAGCUCGAGGAGAUUCACCACCUCGCGCUUAGAUGUCGGCUCCUCCCCGGUUCUUUACUGUCUCAUGCAAUGCACGCCCGAUCUGACAGCCGCAGACUGCACGACCUGUUUCCAUGUUGUCUCGAGUUGUACACUCCAGUACCUGGCCGGAAGGCAAGGUGGCCGAGUUCUGUGGACACGGUGUAACAUGAGGUAUGAGAUGUACCCAUUCUUCCCAGGGGACCCUACGCUGCGAAUUACCAACUUGGCCCAUGAUGUUCCGGUGAUCAACAACACUACGACACCAGCUACCGUGCAGCCACAAUCGCAGCCACCAGCUGCGGCGCCAUCCCCCGAGGGAAAACCGACCGUCCAAGAACACAACAGACACAAAUCACGCAAGAGGACACUGUCGAUUAUUAUUCCUGUGGUGGCUACGCUGCUGUCAGUACUUAUGUGCUUUAUCUGUUUCAUUGUAUGGAAGAGAAGAAAAGGUAAGGUAAACAUAAACAAUCAAGCUGCCAUGAAUAGGCCGGAAGAAUAUGCACUGGUUUGGAGAUUGGAGGAGAGGAGUUCAGAGUUCACACUCUUUGACUUUCCUGAGAUACUGCAAGCUACACAUGACUUUUCCAAAGAAAAUCUACUUGGGAAAGGUGGUUUUGGCCCUGUCUACAAGGGCCAAUUACCAGAUGGAAUUGAGAUUGCUGUUAAAAGGCUUGCCUCACAAUCAGGACAGGGUUUCACAGAAUUCAAGAAUGAAGUUGAACUUAUUGCAAAACUACAGCACAAUAAUCUGGUAAAGCUCUUGGGAUGUUGCAUUCAGGGAGAGGAAAAAGUAUUGGUGUAUGAGUAUUUGCCAAAUAAGAGCUUGGACUUCUUUAUAUUUGAUGAAAACAGAACAACUUUGGUUGAUUGGGAAAAAAGACGUGUCAUAAUUGAAGGGAUAGCCCAAGGUCUUCUAUAUCUUCACAAACACUCUCGAUUGCGCAUCAUACACAGAGAUCUCAAGGCCAGCAACAUUCUCUUAGACCAGGACAUGAAUCCUAAAAUUUCUGAUUUUGGUCUAGCAAAAAUUUUCAGCUCCAAUGACACUCAGGGAAGCACAAAGAGGAUAGUGGGAACAUAUGGUUAUAUGUCUCCCGAGUAUGCAUCUGAAGGCAUUUACUCAAUCAAAUCCGACGUGUUCAGCUUUGGUGUGUUGCUUCUUGAGAUCCUCAGUGGAAAAAGGAAUUCUCGUUUCCAUCAUUGCGAAGACUUUCUUAACCUUCUUGGAUAUUCAUGGCAUCUCUGGGAAGGAGGAAGGUGGCUUGAGCUUCUAGAACUAUCAAUUGUUACGGAGAUCCAUACAACAGAGGCUAGGAGGUAUAUUAACAUUGCACUAAUGUGCGUACAAGAGAGUGCAGAUGAUCGACCCACCAUGUCAGAUGUUGUUGCAAUGUUAAACAGCGAGAGUGUUAUUAUUCCAGAGCCUAAUCCUCCUGCAUAUGUCAACGUAAGAGUAUCUACGGUACACCAAUCAGCUGGUGUUGUUGUUCCAUGCAGUAAUAAUGAUGUAACCAUCACCGAAGAGCCUGAUGGGAGAUAG
rnacentral:rRNA from 1 species